GGGUCAGUAGGUUGGUCGUGCCACCGGUACGUACUGGUCUCACUGAUUCCUCCUUCCUGAAGAACCGUAAUGCCAUUAAUUUGGUGUUGCGGGGAAACAGGACUGUUACUUUGAAAAAAUUAGAGUGUUUUAAGCAAGCUAACGCUUGAAUACAUUAGCAUGGAAUAAUGAAAUAGGGCGAUCGAUCCUAUUUUGUUGGUUUCUAGGAUUGACGUA
rnacentral:rRNA from 1 species